rnacentral:siRNA from 1 species
AGGUCUUUACAUGUUUGAGAUGCA